CCUGCCUUGUAGCGGGGGAUAACUAUUGGAAACGAUAGCUAAUACCGCAUAACAAUGGAUGACUCAUGUCAUUUAUUUGAAAGGGGCAAAUGCUCCACUACAAGAUGGACCUGCGUUGUAUUAGCUAGUAGGUGAGGUAACGGCUCACCUAGGCGACGAUACAUAGCCGACCUGAGAGGGUGAUCGGCCACACUGGGACUGAGACACGGCCCAGACUCCUACGGGAGGCAGCAGUAGGGAAUCUUCGGCAAUGGGGGCAACCCUGACCGAGCAACGCCGCGUGAGUGAAGAAGGUUUUCGGAUCGUAAAGCUCUGUUGUAAGUCAAGAACGAGUGUGAGAGUGGAAAGUUCACACUGUGACGGUAGCUUACCAGAAAGGGACGGCUAACUACGUGCCAGCAGCCGCGGUAAUACGUAGGUCCCGAGCGUUGUCCGGAUUUAUUGGGCGUAAAGCGAGCGCAGGCGGUUUGAUAAGUCUGAAGUUAAAGGCUGUGGCUCAACCAUAGUUCGCUUUGGAAACUGUCAAACUUGAGUGCAGAAGGGGAGAGUGGAAUUCCAUGUGUAGCGGUGAAAUGCGUAGAUAUAUGGAGGAACACCGGUGGCGAAAGCGGCUCUCUGGUCUGUAACUGACGCUGAGGCUCGAAAGCGUGGGGAGCGAACAGGAUUAGAUACCCUGGUAGUCCACGCCGUAAACGAUGAGUGCUAGGUGUUGGAUCCUUUCCGGGAUUCAGUGCCGCAGCUAACG
rnacentral:rRNA from 1 species